AAAAAACGACUCUCGGCAACGGAUAUCUCGGCUCUCGCAUCGAUGA
rnacentral:rRNA from 1 species